AUUGAAGUGUGAUGCAUUUAUCUAGAAUAUUCUAGGUGAGAAUAAGCUAUGAAUAUUCUAGAGAAUUCACCACUAGCUAGAUUAAUCUAGAGUAUUCUAAAUAAUACUAGGACAAGAAUGAGUAUUCUAGAGAUUAGAUAUUUUCUAUAUAGUAUCUAGAGAAUUCCUUAAGUGGAUGUUAGUAGAGAAUUCUAGAUACAAGUUAGUGUAGUGGGAUCUAGAAAGAUCUUCCCACACCUAUAAAUAGAGCUCUUGUGAGCCAUUUGUAACCAAUCUCAUAAUCUAAACAUCUCAAAAACAUCACUCUAUCUAAUAUUAUCUAAGUUCUUUGGAGACAAGAGCUCCACUCUAAAAUCAUUCUCUCUAUCUUCUACACACACUACACUCACAAUAUUCUCUACACCACUUCACUACAAUCACUCACCACACUCAAACCACUAUAUAAUCACCUCCAUUUUCUAACAAGUGGCAUCAGAGCUUGUUCGAUCAUAAGCGGGCGUUAUGGCGUCGUCAAGUCUCUCCAUCACGACUCCAAUAUUCAAUGGAGAAAACUAUGACUAUUGGAGUGUUCGUAUGAAGACUUGCCUUGAAUCCCAUGAUCUUUGGGAUGUCAUUGAAGAAGGAAUCACCAUGCCGGGAGAAGAUAUCGACAAGACAUCCUCAUCCGAGGUACGUAAGAAAUUAAAGCAACAAAAUGCUAAAGCUCUUUAUCUUCUCCAACAAUCUGUUAGUGAUUCUAUCAUGGGAAGAAUUAUUCGAGCCACUACUGCAAAAGAAGCUUGGGAUAUCCUUAAGGAGGAGUUCCAAGGAAAUGUUAAAGUUCGAACCAUUAAACUGCAAAGUUUAAGGCGAGAACUAGAGAAUCUUAAAAUGAAAGAUUCAGAAGCCGCAAAAGAUUAUUUCUCAAGAAUAAUGGAAAUAAUCAAUCAAAUGCGGUCAUACGGAGAGAACGUCUCCGAUGAAAGGAUCAUACAGAAGAUCUUAAUCAGCCUUACCGAGAAGUAUGAUCCAGUAGUGGCGGCGAUUGAAGAAUCAAAAGAUUUGUCAAAAAUGCCCGUCGCGGAGCUGAUGGGUUCCUUGGAAGCACACGAGCAACGAUUGAGUAGGCGACAUGAAAGUUCACUUGAGAGUGCCUUUCAGUCCAAACUCAACGUUAGAGGCAAUAAGUCAAGGAGCGGCGGAAAUUUUAAAAGCAAUCACAAGGAAGGAAGCUCCAGCAACAAGGAGAGCAAGGUAAAUUUUCCACCAUGCGGAAUUUGCAGGAAGACAAAUCACUUGGAGAAGAAUUGCUAUCAUCGAGGAAAGCCACAGUGCAAAAACUGCAAAAGGUUCGGGCACAUGGAAAAAGAUUGCAGAGAUAGAAGAAAUCAUCAAGCCAACUAUCAGAAAAUCAAAAAUGAGAAGGAGAACAUGUUCUAUGCAUGUCACUCGGCAACGGAAGCAGGAGAAGAAGAAUGGUACAUCGAUAGCGGAUGCAGCAACCACAUGACAUCCAACGAGACCAUCUUCCGUGAGUUAGAUACUUCAGUCAAGACGAAGGUGAAGAUGGGCAAUGGAGAACUGAUGGAGACGAAAGGGAAAGGUACAAUUGCCAUAGAAACUAAUAAAGGUACGCGAUUUAUAGAAAUGUUCUCCUAGUACCUCGUCUUGCACAAAGUCUAUUAAGUGUUGGCCAAAUGAUGGAAAAUGGAUAUGCCCUCCACUUUGAGAAAGAUUCUUGUCGAAUUUACGACAAGAAAAAUAACCAAGAUAUUGCAGUAGUAAAAAUGGGAAAAAAUAGAAACUUUCCCAUUCAAUGGCAAUAUCCACAAAAGGCAAUGGUGGCUCAACUCGACGAUACGAGUCUAUGGCACCGGAGAUUUGGGCAUUUCAACCUAAAUGCCUUGAGGCUACUUCAUCAGAAAAAUAUGAUGAGAGAUAUGCCUCUUCUAAAUGAAAGAGAAGGUGUAUGCGAAGGAUGCAUGAUCGGAAAGCAACACAGACAACCAUUUCCAACGGAGAAAACAUGGCGAGCCAAGGAGAUACUAGAGCUUGUCCACACCGACGUUUGCGGUCCAAUGCGCACACCUUCAGUAAACCAAAACAGGUACUUCAUACUCUUUAUUGAUGACUACUCUAGAAUGACUUGGGUAUAUUUUCUCCAAGAAAAAUCAGAAGUCUUUAGAAUCUUCAAGAGAUUCAAGAACUUUGUGGAGAACCAAAGUGGUCGCAAAAUAAAGAAACUGAGAAGCGAUCGAGGUACCGAAUACAACUCAAAAGAGUUCGACAAGUUCUGUGAAGAUGAAGGUGUGGAGCAUCAACUAACGGUGGCCUACACUCCACAACAAAACGGCGUGUCGGAAAGAAAGAAUCGAACAGUCAUGGAGAUGGCGAGAUCCAUGCUGGCGGAGAAAGGAUUGCCAAAGAAGUUUUGGGCAGAGGCAGUGUAUACAUCAGUCUACCUACUCAACCGAUGUCCAACAAAGGCCGUGCUAAACAAGACGCCGAUCGAAGCUUGGUCAGGGCAAAAGCCUUCAGCCAAACAUUUGAGGGUCUUUGGAAGUAUCUGCUACAUCCACAUUCCCUCAGUAAAAAGACACAAACUGGAGGACAAGACGGAGAAGGGAAUCUUCCUCGGCUAUAGCUCUAAAUCCAAGGGGUAUAGAAUCUACAAUCUUGAGACCAAGAAGCUGGUGACAAGUCGAGACGUGGAAUUUGACGAACAAGCCUCCUGGAAUUGGGAGACAGAAAGUGUUGAAAGGCAGACAACAACUACACUCCUAAAAGAAGUCACAGAACAUGGAGAACAAGAUCAACAAAGCCCACCAAGGUCCUCUUCAGAAGCCAAUACCUCAAGUGGAUCCGACUCAGACUCCUCACCAGACUUUCCACCUUUUCGGGUAAGAACUCUAGAAGAUUUAUAUGAAUCCACUGAUAUAUAUGAGACAUGCAACUUUUGUUCUUUGGAGCCAAAUAACUAUGCAGAAGCAUCCAAAGAGAAAGUUUGGAUUAAAGCAAUGGAGGAGGAGAUAAAAAUGAUAGAAAAGAAUGAUACUUGGGAGUUGGUGGAUCUUCCAAGUGACAAGGAAGUCAUUAGAGUCAAAUGGGUGUUCAAGACAAAGCUGAAUCCUGAUGGUUCGAUCCAGAAGCAUAAGGCAAGACUUGUCGCAAAAGGAUAUGCUCAAGUACCAGGAGUCGACUACACAGAAACGUUUGCUCCAGUAGCCCGGAUGGACACAAUUCGAGCACUCAUAGCUCUAGCGGCUCAAAAGAGAUGGAAAAUCUAUCAACUUGAUGUUAAGUCGGCAUUUCUCAAUGGAGAUCUAACAGACAAGAUAUAUGUGGAGCAGCCAGAAGGAUUCACAAAGCAAGAAGGCAAAGUUCUUCGUCUCAAGAAAGCACUCUAUGGGCUCAAACAAGCGCCACGAGCCUGGUACAGCAAAAUAGACGGAUAUUUCACCGGUCAAGGAUUCAUGAGGAGCAAGAACGAGGCCACUCUCUACAUCAAAACUCUAGGUACGGACAUCCUGAUCGUCUCUCUUUAUGUUGAUGACUUAAUUGUCACAGGAAAUAACACAAAAUUGAUCGAGGAUUUCAAGAAAGACAUGAUGAGCACCUUUGAGAUGACGGACUUAGGAUUAAUGCACUAUUUUCUCGGAAUGGAGAUAAGUCAAGAGGAAGAAGGCAUCUUCCUAUCACAAAAGAAGUAUAUUGAAGAUAUGCUCAAGAAGUUCAAGAUGCAAGACUCCAAGCCAGUGGUUACACCUCUCAUUCCAAAUGAGAAGUUGAAGAAACUGAGUUGCACUAUCAACAGCAGAAGCUGAGUAUGUUGCAGCAGCCGAAGCAGCAUGUCAAGCUAUAUGGCUUAGAAGAAUACUAGCGGAUAUGGGCGAACCGCAAGACUCAUCGACAGAGAUCUACUGCGAUAACAAGUCAGCUAUAGCAAUGGCUAAGAAUCCAGUUCAGCACAAUCGCACCAAGCACAUCGACAUCAAGUAUCACUUCUUAAGAGAUGUUGAAGCAAAGAAACUUAUCGAGAUGAAGUAUUGUCCAACAGAAGAGCAGUUGGCGGACAUCUUCACAAAAGCACUACCAAGGGACAGAUUCCAGUUUCUACGAAGAAUGCUUGGAGUAACCGAUAAAUGCAUCAAGGAGGAGUAUUGAAGUGUGAUGCAUUUAUCUAGAAUAUUCUAGGUGAGAAUAAGCUAUGUAUAUUCUAAAGAAUUCACUACUAGCUAGAUUAAUCUAGAGUAUUCUAAAUAAUACUAGGACAAGUAUGAGUAUUCUAGAGAUUAGAUAUUUUUCAUAUAGUAUCUAGAGAAUUCCUUAAGUAGAUGCUAGUAGAAAAUUCUAGAUACAAACUAAUGUAGUGGGAUCUAGAGAGAUCUUCCCACACCUAUAAAUAGAGCUCUUGUGAGCCAUUUGUAACUAAUCUCAAAACCAAUCUCACAUAAUCUCAAACAUCUCAAAAACAUCACUCUAUCUAAUAUUAUCUAAGUUCUUUGGAGACAAGAGCUCCACUCUAAAAUCAUUAUCUCUAUCUUCUACACACACUACACUCACAAUAUUCUCUACACCACUUCACUACAAUCACUCACCAUACUCAAACCUCUAUAUAAUCACC
rnacentral:lncRNA from 1 species